AAAUAAGAAGCAAAUCUUGCAUUUAGUUUCGACCUAAAAAUAUGGUAUAAAUACCCUUAUUUA
rnacentral:tRNA from 1 species